CCGGUUGAUCCUGCCGGACCUUACUGCUAUCGGGAUGAGACUAAGCCAUGCAUGUCGAGCGCUCUUCAGCUAUGUAGAGAGCGCGGCGAACGGCUCAAUAACACGUAGUUAACCUACCCUCGGGAUGGGAAUAACCCCGGGAAACUGGGAUUAAUGCCCACUAGAUGAUUAUACCUGGAAUGGCUUAUCAUCGAAAGAGUCUGGAAACAUGCUUCCAGCGUCGCCCGAGGAUGGGACCGCGUCCGAUCAGGUAGUUGGUGGGGUAAUGGCCUACCAAGCCUAUAACCGGUACGGGCCCUGAGAGGGGGAGCCCGGAGAUGGAAACUGAGAAAAGGUUCCAGGCCCUACGGGGUGCAGCAGGCGCGAAACCUCCACAAUGCGCGAAAGCGUGAUGGGGUUAUCCCGAGUGCCGUCCGAUGAGGAUGGCUUUUAAUCGAUGUAAGGAUUCGAUAGAAUAAAGGGGGGGCAAGACUGGUGUCAGCCGCCGCGGUAAUACCAGCCCCCUGAGUGGUAAGGACGAUUAUUUGGCCUAAAGCGUUCGUAGCCGGCUUAUCAAGUCUUUUGUUAAAUCCAACGAUUCAAUCGUUGGGCCGCAAAAGAUACUGUUAUGCUAGAGGACGGGAGAGGUCGACGGUAGUCCAGGGGUAGGGGUGAAAUCCUAUAAUCCUUGGAGGA
rnacentral:rRNA from 1 species